CUUAAGUCAAAGACUAAACCAGUGCAAGGCCCUAACUCUUUUCAAUUGUAUGAAGGCUAAGAGAGGUGAGGAAACUGCAGAAGAAAAGGAGAAACUUGGCA